UCUACGGGGCGCAGCAGUCGGGAAUAUUGCGCAAUGGAGGAAACUCUGACGCAGUGACGCCGCGUGCAGGAAGAAGGUUUUCGGAUUGUAAACUGCUUUAGACAGGGAAGAAACAAGACAGUACCUGUAAAAUAAGCUCCGGCUAACUACGUGCCAGCAGCCGCGGUAAUACGUAGGGAGCAAGCGUUAUCCGGAUUUAUUGGGUUUAAAGGGUGCGUAGGCGGGACGGUAAGUCAGCGGUAAAAAUGCGGAGCUCAACUCCGUCGAGCCGUUGAAACUGCCGUUCUUGAGUGAGCGAGAAGUAU
rnacentral:rRNA from 1 species